UACGUAGGUGGCAAGCGUUGUCCGGAUUUACUGGGCGUAAAGGGCGUGCAGGCGGUUUGUUAAGUCUAGGGUGAAAGCUCCCGGCUCAACUGGGAGAGGUCCUUGGAUACUGGUAAACUUGAGGGAGGCAGAGGAGAGUGGAAUUCCCGGUGUAGUGGUGAUAUGCGUAGAUAUCGGGAGGAACACCAGUGGCGAAGGCGGCUCUCUGGGCCUUUCCUGACGCUGAGACGCGAAAGCGUGGGGAGCGAACCGG
rnacentral:rRNA from 1 species